GAUGGAUAGGGGUUCUGAGAGGAAGGUCCCCCACGUUGGAACUGAGCCAGGAUCCAACUCUUACGGGAGGCAGCAGUGAGGAAUAUUGGUCAAUGGACGAGAGUCUGAACCAGCCAAGUAGCGUGAAGGAUGACUGCCUAUGGGUUGUAAACUUCUUUUAUACGGGAAUAAGUUAGCCACAUGUGGCUUUUUGUAUGUACCGUAUGAAUAAGGAUCGGCUAACUCCGUGCCAGCAGCCGCGGUAAUACGGAGGAUCCGAGCGUUAUCCGGAUUUAUUGGGUUUAAAGGGAGCGUAGGCGGGUUGUUAAGUCAGUUGUGAAAGUUUGCGGCUCAACCGUAAAAUUGCAGUUGAUACUGGCGACCUUGAGUGCAACAGAGGUAGGCGGAAUUCGUGGUGUAGCGGUGAAAUGCUUAGAUAUCACGAAGAACUCCGAUUGCGAAGGCAGCUUACUGGAUUGUAACUGACGCUGAUGCUCGAAAGUG
rnacentral:rRNA from 1 species